UUGGCCCGUACCCUAAACCGACACAGGUGGGAAGGUAGAGUAUACCCAGGGGCGCGAGAUAACUCUCUCUAAGGAACUCGGCAAAAUGGCCCCGUAACUUCGGGAGAAGGGGUGCCACCGAGAGGUGGUCGCAGUGAAGAGUCCCAGGCGACUGUUUACCAAAAACACAGGUCUCCGCUAAGUCGCAAGACGAUGUAUGGGGGCUGACGCCUGCCCAGUGCCGGAAGGUUAAGGAAGUUCGUCAGGGAGAAAUCCUGAAGCUAGCGACUGAAGCCCCGGUGAACGGCGGCCGUAACUAUAACGGUCCUAAGGUAGCGAAAUUCCUUGUCGGGUAAGUUCCGACCCGCACGAAAGGCGUAACGAUCUGGGAGCUGUCUCGGAGAGAGGCUCGGCGAAAUAGGAAUGUCUGUGAAGAUACGGACUACCUGCACCCGGACAGAAAGACCCUAUGAAGCUUUACUGUAGCUUGGUAUUGGGUUCGGGCUUUGAUUGCGCAGGAUAGGUGGGAGACUAUGAGAUAGCUCUUGUGGGAGUUAUGGAGUCACUGGUGAGAUACCACUCUAUCAAGGCUAGAAUUCUAACUUUGACCCGUUAUCCGGGCAGAGAACAGUAUCAGGUGGGCAGUUUGACUGGGGCGGUCGCCUCCUAAAUGGUCACGGAGGCGCGCAAAGGUUCCCUCAGGCUGGUUGGAAAUCAGCCAUUGAGUGUAAAGGCAUAAGGGAGCUUGACUGCGAGACUGACAAGUCGAGCAGGUACGAAAGUAGGCCUUAGUGAUCCGACGGAUCCGCGUGGAAGGGCCGUCGCUCAACGGAUAAAAGUUACUCUAGGAUAACAGGCUGAUCUCCCCCAAGAGUUCACAUCGACGGGGAGGUUUGGCACCUCGAUGUCGGCUCAUCGCAACCUGGGGCUGUAGUCGGUCCCAAGGGUUGGGCUGUUCGCCCAUUAAAGCGGUACGUGAGCUGGGUUCAGAACGUCGUGAGACAGUUCGGUCCAUAUCCGGUGCAGGCGUAGGAACAUUGAGAGGAGUCUUCCUUAGUACGAGAGGACCGGGAAGAACGCACCGCUGGUGUACCUGUUAUCGUGCCAACGGUAAACGCAGGGUAGCCAAGUGCGGAGAGGAUAACCGCUGAAAGCAUCUAAGUGGGAAGCCCACCUCAAGAUGAGUGUUCCCAUGGCAAAAGCCAGUAAGGUCACGGGUAGACCACCCGUUAAUAGGCGCUAGAUGGAAGUCCAGCAAUGGAUGUAGUCGAGGCGUACUAACAGACCGAGGGCUUU
rnacentral:rRNA from 1 species